rnacentral:rRNA from 1 species
UACAGAGGGGGCAAGCGUUAAUCGGAAUUACUGGGCGUAAAGCGCGCGUAGGCGGUCGGGUCAGUCGGUUGCGAAAUCCCCGGGCUUAACCUGGGAAUUGCAGUCGAUACUGCCCGGCUAGAGUGUGGAAGAGGGAAGCGGAAUUUCCGGUGUAGCGGUGAAAUGCGUAGAUAUCGGAAGGAACACCAGUGGCGAAGGCGGCUUCCUGGUCCAACACUGACGCUGAGGCGCGAAAGCGUGGGUAGAGAACAGG